rnacentral:rRNA from 1 species
UACGUAGGGGGCAAGCGUUGUCCGGAAUCAUUGGGCGUAAAGCGCGCGUAGGCGGCCUCAUAAGUCCGCUGUAAAAGUCAAAGGCUCAACCUUUGAAUGCGGUGGAUACUGUGAGGCUAGAGUCCGGAAGAGGCGAGUGGAACUCCUGGUGUAGCGGUGGAAUGCGCAGAUAGUCAGGAAGAACACCAACGGCGAAGGCAGCUCGCUGGGACGGUACUGACGCUGAGGCGCGAAAGCGUGGGGAGCAAACAGG